CCUACGGGAGGCAGCAGUGAGGAAUAUUGGUCAAUGGCCGCAGGGCUGAACCAGCCAAGUCGCGUGAGGGAUGACGGUCCUAUGGAUUGUAAACCUCUUUUGUCAGGGAGCAGAGGGCGCCACGUGUGGCGUUUUGCGAGUACCUGACGAAAAAGCAUCGGCUAACUACGUUCCAGCAGCCGCGGUAAUACGGAGGAUGCGAGCGGUAUCCGGAUUGAUUGGGUUUAACGGGUGCGCAGGCGGAAUGUCAAGUCAGCGGUAAAAUUUAGGGGCUCAACCCCGUCGUGCCGUUGAAACUGGCGUGCUUGAGUGAGCGAGAAGUAUGCGGAAUGCGUGGUGUAGCGGUGAAAUGCAUAGAUAUCACGCAGAACUCCGAUUGCGAAGGCAGCAUACCGGCGCGCAACUGACGCUCAUGCACGAAAGCGUGGGUAUCGAACAGGAUUAGAGACCCUUGUAGUG
rnacentral:rRNA from 1 species